CCCUUAGAUGUCCUGGGCGGCCCGCGCGCUACAAUGUCAGCUACUGAAGGUUAAUGCUUUGAAAGAGAGCGCGCUCUCCUUUUAAUUGCUCGCAUGCUGGGAUAAAUGAAUGCAAUUUUGUUUUGAACGAGGAAUUCCUAGUAGCCAUGUUUCACUAGAAGAUGGCGAAUGCGUCCCUGCCCUUUGUACACACCGCCCGUCGCACCUACCGAUUGAAUGGUCCGGUGAAGCCUCGGGAUUGUGGUUAGUUUCCUUCAUUGGAAGUUAGCCGCGAGAACUUGUCUAAACCUUAUCAUUUAGAGGAAGGUGAAGUCGUAACA
rnacentral:rRNA from 1 species